AAACAACAAAAUUCCUACACUCCACCAAUCUGCAGCCUUAUCAUGGCCCUUCCCAAGAACAAUCUCCGGUGACAUGUACUCUACUGUUCCACACAUGGAGUUUGAUCUUGUGUCCUCUUUGAAUUCCUUGGCAAGUCCAAAAUCAGUCAACAUGGCCUACAACAAGUUAGGGGACCGAGGAAAUUAAAUUGAUAACCUUUACAUGCAAAGAAGAGAAAAUCAGAUGUGUGAAGACGCUAGUCCAUCCACACACAGAAACUGAGAGAGGGGAGAGGUGAAUAUACAUGGCCAUCCACAUCCACUAGAAUGUUUUCCGGUUUGAGAUCCCUGUGCAUUAUUCCAUUUGCAUGAAGG
rnacentral:lncRNA from 1 species